UUUUUUUACGUUUUCCUUGGAUUACUGCCAUGGCUUCUCUCUCUCCAUCGAAGAUUUGACGUCCUCCGCUGUCGCGCCACCGCCGCCGCUCGCGUCGCACAAGCUCCCUCCACCACCUCUCUCAUCGCGUUUGCUCCCUUCAUCACCAUUGUCGCACGAGCUCUCUCUGUCGUGCUCUUGUCUUACGAGCUCCCUCUGCUGCCGCUCUCGUCGCUGCUUCUUCUCUCCUCGCCAGAGGUUUGUCAUCGUCUCUUCUCAUCACCGUUAGUUCGGUUGAAAAUCAAAGAAUACGAUCCAGGAGAGCUCUUAUGUUUGCAAAUCAGCUGUUGCUGCUGCAGAGAACUGAGUUUCUAAAUUCUAAGUGAAUAUACGAAGUUUGUGUUAGAAGCCCUUGAACUGUUGGAUACCAUAAAGAACUAUGAGAGCCGUGACUCCACAGGAUGGUUUGCUCUUAAAUCUACAUGUUCUUAUCUUUCUUGGUACUGAUACUAAUUUUCUGGU